AGGACGAACGCUGGCGGCGUGCUUAACACAUGCAAGUCGAACGGUGAAGGAGAGCUUGCUCUCCGGAUCAGUGGCGAACGGGUGAGUAACACGUGAGUAACCUGCCCUUGACUCUGGGAUAAGCGUUGGAAACGACGUCUAAUACCGGAUACGAGCUUCAGCCGCAUGGCUAGGAGCUGGAAAGAAUUUCGGUCAAGGAUGGACUCGCGGCCUAUCAGCUAGUUGGUGAGGUAAAGGCUCACCAAGGCGACGAUCCUUAGCUGGUCUGAGAGGAUGAUCAGCCACACUGGGACUGAGACACGGCCCAGACUCCUACGGGAGGCAGCAGUGGGGAAUAUUGCACAAUGGGCGAAAGCCUGAUGCAGCGACGCCGCGUGGGGAUGACGGUCUUCGGAUUGUAAACCCUUUCAGUAGGACGAAGCGCAAGUGACGGUACCUGCAGAAGAAGCACCGGCUAACACGUGCCAGCAGCCGUA
rnacentral:rRNA from 1 species